GACGAACGCUGGCGGCGUGCCUAAUACAUGCAAGUCGAACGCAUUUUCUUUCACCGUAGCUUGCUACACCGAAAGAAAAUGAGUGGCGAACGGGUGAGUAACACGUGGGUAACCUGCCCAUCAGCGGGGGAUAACACUUGGAAACAGGUGCUAAUACCGCAUAAUUUCAUCUACCGCAUGGUAGAUGGAUGAAAGGCGCUUUUGCGUCACUGAUGGAUGGACCCGCGGUGCAUUAGCUAGUUGGCGGGGUAACGGCCCACCAAGGCGACGAUCAGUAGCCGGACUGAGAGGUUGGCCGGCCACAUUGGGACUGAGACACGGCCCAG
rnacentral:rRNA from 1 species